UAAAGCUCACCUUCCGCGAAAAUCCGAUUUUUCUUGUUUUUUGUGGAAUACAGUAGGUCUCUCCGAGUUGAAUGUGUACACCUGCACAUUAAACUGUUUUGCAGCCCCCAUUGUCUGCAGGAGCUAAGCAAAGAAAUCCCCCCCCCCCUCCGAAAAACGGGUGAAUUUUGAAUUAUCUUUCUGCCUACGUAGGCAGAAACUCACAGACCAGCCCACCUUGGCUCGAGAAACUCCCAGAGGCGGAGCUGAAGCGACGCAACAUCACCGCUCAUCAGUUAGGAGGUGGGAGGCAGUGAGCGGCAGAGCGGUGGAGGGGCGUCGCAGUGCUCCUAGCCAAUCAGAGGAGAGAUAUUUGCAUGCUGUUUGCAUGUAUGAAUAUUCAUGAGCAAAGCUGGAAUCCGGUCAUUUUGGACACACCCCUAAAACAGUCCAUUAAAAAAGAGCUAUACAGAGACACCUGAGCACUUUUUUUUUACAAAAACGGCUCACAUGUCAUUCAUUCAUACUAGAGACCACAACUAGACAUUUUAAAAUGAAAGAAAAAACGACGGAAGGUGAGCUUUAAUUUGGUUUUUGAUGGUUGAAGUGGUUUAAAAGCUUCUAGCUAAGCUAAGGUAUGCUAUGGUAAGCUUGCUAGUGGUUGUUAAGCUUAAGACCAGCUAAACCAUCUUGUCAAGAAGCUUGAUUAGAUUGAGUGUAACUGCAAACAUAGUACUGUUUAAAAGUCUUAGUCCAGCACAGACUAGUGGUUUGCUUUGACAAUCUGAUGCUAUUUGAGCUAACAAGUUAUUGUACGGUAUUGUAGCAUCAUUGGGGUGGAGUAAGAUGGACCAGGCCAUUGUCCUAUUUAGCAAAUUUACUUAAAGGAGAACUC